rnacentral:rRNA from 1 species
ACGAACGCUGGCGGUGUGCUUAACACAUGCAAGUCGAACGGUAAGGCCCUUUCGGGGGUACACGAGUGGCGAACGGGUGAGUAACACGUGAGUAACCUGCCCUCAUCUCUGGGAUAACAGUCGGAAACGGUUGCUAAUACUGGAUAUGAGCUUGCAAGGCAUCUUGUGGGUUGGAAAGAUUUUUUUGGUUGGGGAUGGACUCGCGGCCUAUCAGCUUGUUGGUGAGGUGGUGGCUCACCAAGGCUUCGACGGGUAGCCGGCCUGAGAGGGCGACCGGCCACAUUGGGACUGAGAUACGGCCCAAACUCCUACGGGAGGCAGCAGUGGGGAAUAUUGCACAAUGGACGGAAGUCUGAUGCAGCAACGCCGCGUGCGGGAUGACGGCCUUCGGGUUGUAAACCGCUUUCAAUUGUGACGAAGCUUUUUGUGACGGUAGCAGUAGAAGAAGCACCGGCUAACUACGUG